AAAAAGACAAACCUGGUUUCCGUGUCCAACGUUUAACCAUUUAUUUUAUUUGAAAAAUUAUAAAAAAAAUAAAAAGACAAGUCACGUAUAAAAUAUUAAUCAUGUUUUAUCAUCUAACAAAAUAAAAAUAUGAAUUAUAAAAAAAUUUCAUAUAAGACAGACUGUUAAAGUUGGACACGGAAAUCUAGGGUUUGCCUUUUU
rfam:Oryza sativa (indica cultivar-group) chromosome 10, whole genome shotgun sequence.